UACGUAGGGUGCAAGCGUUAAUCGGAAUUACUGGGCGUAAAGCGUGCGCAGGCGGUUGUGCAAGACAGAUGUGAAAUCCCCGGGCUCAACCCUGGGAAUUGCAUUUGUGACUGCACGGCUAGAGUGUGUCAGAGGGGGGUAGAAUUCCACGUGUGAGCAGUGAAAUGCGUAGAGAUGAUGGACGGAAUACCGAUGGCGGAGGCAGCCCCUGGGAUAACACUGACGCCUCAUGCACGAAAGCGUGGGGAGCAAACAGG
rnacentral:rRNA from 1 species